rnacentral:SRP_RNA from 1 species
GCUGGGUGUGGUAGUGCAUGCCUGUAAUCCCAGCUACUUGGGAGGCUGAGGCAGGAGAAUGGCUUGAACCCAGGAGGUGGAGAUUGCAGUGAGCCGAGAUCGCACCACUGCACUCUAGCCUGGGUGACAGAGUGAGACUCUGUCUCAA